rnacentral:rRNA from 1 species
UACGUAGGUGGCAAGCGUUGUCCGGAUUUACUGGGCGUAAAGAGCGCGCAGGCGGUCGUGCAAGUCGCGUGUGAAAGCCCCCGGCUCAACUAGGGAGGGUCACGCGAUACUGCUCGACUCGAAGGCAGGAGAGGGAAGUGGAAUUCCCGGUGUAGUGGUGAAAUGCGUAGAUAUCGGGAGGAACACCAGUGGCGAAGGCGACUUCCUGGCCUGUUCUUGACGCUGAGGCGCGAAAGCUAGGGUAGCAAACGGG